AUUGAACGCUGGCGGCAUGCUUUACACAUGCAAGUCGAACGGCAGCGCGGGCUUCGGCCUGGCGGCGAGUGGCGAACGGGUGAGUAAUACAUCGGAACGUGCCCAGUAGUGGGGGAUAGCUCGGCGAAAGCCGGAUUAAUACCGCAUACGACCUGAGGGUGAAAGCGGGGGAUCUUCGGACCUCGCGCUAUUGGAGCGGCCGAUGGCAGAUUAACUAGUUGGUGGGGUAAAGGCCUACCAAGGCGACGAUCUGUAGCUGGUCUGAGAGGACGACCAGCCACACUGGGACUGAGACACGGCCCAGACUCCUACGGGAGGCAGCAGUGGGGAAUUUUGGACAAUGGGCGAAAGCCUGAUCCAGCAAUGCCGCGUGUGUGAUGAAGGCCUUCGGGUUGUAAAGCACUUUUGGCGGGAACGAAAAGGACUGUGCCAAUACCACGGUUCGAUGACGGUACCCGCAGAAUAAGCACCGGCUAACUACGUG
rnacentral:rRNA from 1 species